GACAGAGGGUGCAAACGUUGCUCGGAAUCACUGGGCGUAAAGGGCGUGUAGGCGGGAAGGAAAGUCAGAUGUGAAAUCCCUGGGCUCAACCCAGGAACUGCAUUUGAAACUCCCUUUCUUGAGUGUCGGAGAGGAAAGUGGAAUUCCUGGUGUAGAGGUGAAAUUCGUAGAUAUCAGGAGGAACACCGGUGGCGAAGGCGGUUCUCUGGGCCUUACCUGACGCUGAGGAGCGAAAGCGUGGGGAGCGAACAGG
rnacentral:rRNA from 1 species